UGCACAUUCUAUGAACAUAUAAAAUCUACUACAUUUCAAAUGCAAGAAACAAUCAAAGCAAGGUAUAUCAACAUGCUUCUAUAUAUAUGAAAUUCAUAUCAAGACAUAUGAAACUAAAACAUUGCUAUCACAUAGCAAACUACAAAACCUAGGUGAACAAACCUACACCUAAGAAUAAUCAUUUGAUUGACCCAAUCAACGUUGGCUCUGAUACCACUGUAGAAUUUUGAUGGUGUAAUGGAAGCAUAGAUUUUAAAAUUUUUAUAAUAAAAUACCAAAACUCCAAACCCUAAACCCAAGAACUCCUUGAUG
rnacentral:lncRNA from 1 species